AGUCAAUAGAUACCCAGGUAGUCCACGCCGUAAACUAUGGAUGCUAGCUGUUAGAGGUAUCGACCCCUCUAGUAGCGAAAGCUAACGCGUUAAGCAUCCCGCCUGUGGAGUACGGUCGCAAGACUAAAACAUAAGGGAAUUGACGGGGACCCGCACAAGCGGUGGAGCGUGUUGUUUAAUUCGAUGGUAAGCGAAGAACCUUACCCAGGCUUGACAUCCUUGGAAUUUUGGCGAAAGCCGAGAGUGCCUUCGGGAACCAAGUGACAGGUGUUGCAUGGCCGUCGUCAGCUCGUGUCGUGAGAUGUUUGGUUAAGUCCAUCAACGAGCGCAACCCUUAUAGUUAGUUGAAUUUUUCUAGCUAGACUGCCCUGGCAACAGGGAGGAAGGAGGGGAUGAUGUCAGGUCAGUAUUACCCUUACGUCUAGGGCUACAAACACGCUACAAUGGCCGGUACAAAGGGCAGCCAAGUCGCGAGACGGAGCAAAUCCCAUCAAAGCCGGUCUAAGUUCGGAUAGCAGGCUGAAACUCGCCUGCUUGAAGCU
rnacentral:rRNA from 1 species